rnacentral:rRNA from 1 species
AUUGAACGCUGGCGGCAGGCUUAACACAUGCAAGUCGAACGAGUGGCGGACGGGUGAGUAAUGUCUGGGAAACUGCCUGAUGGAGGGGGAUAACUACUGGAAACGGUAGCUAAUACCGCAUACCAUCGGAUGUGCCCAGAGGGGAUUAGCUAGUAGGUGGGGUAAAGGCUCACCUAGGCGACGAUCCCUAGCUGGUCUGAGAGGCUGACCGGCCACACUUGAACUGAAACACGGUCCAGACUCCUACGGGAGGCAGCAGUGGGGAAUAUUGCACAAGGGGCGCAAGCCUGAUGCAGCCAUGCCGCGUGUAUGAAGAAGGCCUUCGGGUUGUAAAGUACUUUCAGCGGGGAGGCGUUACCCGCAGAAGAAGCACCGGCUAACUCCGUGCCAGCAGCCGCGGUAAUUC